AACGCGAAGAACCUUACCUGGGCUCGAAAUGCAGUGCACCGAGGUGGAAACAUCUUUUCCCGCAAGGGGUGCUGCAUAGGUGCUGCAUGGCUGUCGUCAGCUCGUGUCGUGAGAUGUUGGGUUAAGUCCCGCAACGAGCGCAACCCUUAUUGCCAGUUGCCAUCAGGUUAUGCUGGGCACUCUGGCGAAACUGCCCCGGAUAACGGGGAGGAAGGUGGGGAUGACGUCAAGUCCUCAUGGCCUUUACGUACAGGGCCACACACGUGCUACAAUGGUCGGUAUAAACCGUCGCAAACCUGCGAAGGGGAGCUAAUCGGAAAAAGCCGACCUCAGUUCGGAUUGGAGUCUGCAACUCGACUCCAUGAAGCUGGAAUCGCUAGUAAUCGCGGAUCAGAACGCCGCGGUGAAUACGUUCCCGGGCCUUGUACACACCGA
rnacentral:rRNA from 1 species